UACGGAGGGUGCAAGCGUUGUCCGGAUUUAUUGGGUUUAAAGGGUGCGUAGGUGGCCCGUUAAGUCCGGGGUGAAAGCCCACUGCUCAACAGUGGAACUGCCCUGGAUACUGGCAGGCUUGAGAGUCGUCGAGGGUGGCGGAAUUGAUGCUGUAGCGGUGAAAUGCAUAGAUAGCAUCAAGAACACCGAUUGCGUAGGCAGCUAACUAGGCUGUAACUGACGCUGAGGCACGAAAGCGUGGGGAGCGAACAGG
rnacentral:rRNA from 1 species